rnacentral:rRNA from 1 species
GGCGUAAGGGCUCGCAGGCGGUUUCUUAAGUCUGAUGUGAAAGCCCCCGGCUCAACCGGGGAGGGUCAUUGGAAACUGGGAAACUUGAGUGCAGAAGAGGAGAGUGGAAUUCCACGUGUAGCGGUGAAAUGCGUAGAGAUGUGGAGGAACACCAGUGGCGAAGGCGACUCUCUGGUCUGUAACUGACGCUGAGGAGCGAAAGCGUGGGGAGCGAACAGGAUUAGAUACCCUGGUAGUCCACGCCGUAAACGAUGAGUGCUAAGUGUUAGGGGGUUUCCGCCCCUUAGUGCUGCAGCUAACGCAUUAAGCACUCCGCCUGGGGAGUACGGUCGCAAGACUGAAACUCAAAGGAAUUGACGGGGGCCCGCACAAGCGGUGGAGCAUGUGGUUUAAUUCGAAGCAACGCGAAGAACCUUACCAGGUCUUGACAUCCUCUGACGACCCUAGAGAUAGGGCUUUCCCUUCGGGGACAGAGUGACAGGUGGUGCAUGGUUGUCGUCAGCUCGUGUCGUGAGAUGUUGGGUUAAGUCCCGCAACGAGCGCAACCCUUGAUCUUAGUUGCCAGCAUUCAGUUGGGCACUCUAAGGUGACUGCCGGUGACAAACCGGAGGAAGGUGGGGAUGACGUCAAAUCAUCAUGCCCCUUAUGACCUGGGCUACACACGUGCUACAAUGGACAGAACAAAGGGCUGCAAGACCGCAAGGUUUAGCCAAUCCCAUAAAUCUGUUCUCAGUUCGG